rnacentral:rRNA from 1 species
UUUGAGUGAGUGGCGGACGGGUGAGUAACACGUGGGUAACCUGCCCAAAAGUGGGGGAUAACAUCUGGAAACAGGUGCUAAUACCGCAUAACAACUACUUUCACAUGAUCGUAGCUUGAAAGAUGGCUCUGCUAUCGCUUUUGGAUGGACCCGCGGCGUAUUAGCUAGUUGGUGAGGUAACGGCUCACCAAGGCAAUGAUACGUAGCCGACCUGAGAGGGUAAUCGGCCACAUUGGGACUGAGACACGGCCCAAACUCCUACGGGAGGCAGCAGUAGGGAAUCUUCCACAAUGGGCGAAAGCCUGAUGGAGCAAUGCCGCGUGAGUGAAGAAGGUUUUCGGAUCGUAAAACUCUGUUGUUGAAGAAGAACAUGCGUGAGAGUAACUGUUCACGUACUGACGGUAUUCAACCAGAAAGCCACGGCUAACUACGUGCCAGCAGCCGCGGUAAUACGUAGGUGGCAAGCGUUGUCCGGAUUUAUUGGGCGUAAAGAGAAUGUA